rnacentral:lncRNA from 1 species
AGAGGGAAGCUCAUCGGUGGGGCUAUGAGCUGAGUGCCUUGAGUCACUCUAUCCCAAGUCCCCUGGGAAGGUCUGAGACUAAGGCCAUAAAGCGGCUCUAACAGGGUCCUCCCUGAGUUUCAGGGAGGUGAGUUCCCAGAGAAAACAGGCAUGAGGGCAGACUGGGCAAAAGAAGAAUGUAAACAAAGCACUGCAGAUGUUUGUCAAAAGGCUCUUCUAAUGAGCCUCACAGACCCAAGACACAGAUAAUAAAGGGGGUUAAAGAACACAAGAGUUACUAUUAACUCU